CAGCAGCCGCCGCGGUAAUACGGAGGGUGCAAGCGUUAAUCGGAAUUACUGGGCGUAAAGCGCACGCAGGCGGUCUGUCAAGUCAGAUGUGAAAUCCCCGGGCUUAACCUGGGAACUGCAUUUGAAACUGGCAGGCUAGAGUCUUGUAGAGGGGGGUAGAAUUCCAGGUGUAGCGGUGAAAUGCGUAGAGAUCUGGAGGAAUACCGGUGGCGAAGGCGGCCCCCUGGACAAAGACUGACGCUCAGGUGCGAAAGCGUGGGGAGCAAACAGGAUUAGAUACCCGCGUAGUCCCUGUCUCUUAUAA
rnacentral:rRNA from 1 species